ACUUAAAUUGAAGAGUUUGAUCAUGGCUCAGAUUGAACGCUGGCGGCAGGCCUAACACAUGCAAGUCGAGCGGUAGCACAGAGAGCUUGCUCUCGGGUGACGAGCGGCGGACGGGUGAGUAAUGUCUGGGAAACUGCCUGAUGGAGGGGGAUAACUACUGGAAACGGUAGCUAAUACCGCAUAACGUCGCAAGACCAAAGUGGGGGACCUUCGGGCCUC
rnacentral:rRNA from 1 species